rnacentral:rRNA from 1 species
AUGGGCUGCGCUUGGUCGUCGUCGUCGUCGCCGUCGAGGCGUCAGCGGCGCGCUCAGGGGUACGAGGAGCCCGCCGUCCUCGCCGCCGAGACCUCCUUCACGGUGAGCGAGGUGGAGGCGCUGUACGAGCUCUACAACAAGCUCAGCUACUCCAUCUUCAAAGACGGCCUCAUCCAUAAGGAGGAGUUCCGGCUCGCCCUGUUCCGGACCAGCGAGAGAGCCAACCUCUUUGCGGACAGGGUGUUCCACCUCUUCGAUCUCAAGCGCAACGGGGUCAUCGAGUUCGGCGAGUUUGUGCGCUCGCUCAGCAUCUUCCACCCCAAAGCGCUUGUAUCAGACAAGGCCGCAUUUGCAUUCAAAUUGUACGAUUUGAGGGGCACAGGCUACAUCGAAAAAGAAGAGCUUAGGGAGAUGGUGGUGGCACUUCUUGACGAGUCGGACCUAUGUCUCUCGGAUAGCGCUGUUGAUGAGAUCGUUGACAAUACGUUCAGUCAAGCAGACACGAAUGGCGAUGGCAGGUUAGACCCCAAGGAGUGGGAGGAGUUUGUCAAGAAGAACCCGACAUCACUCAGGAACAUGUCACUGCCCUAUCUCCAGGACAUUACGACCACGUUUCCGAGCUUUGCAACGCAUUCGGAAGUCAAUGAUUGUGGUGGCGUCGACAAAUAA